GAAUUUUGGACAAUGGGCGAAAGCCUGAUCCAGCAAUGCCGCGUGCAGGAUGAAGGCCUUCGGGUUGUAAACUGCUUUUGUACGGAACGAAAAGCUUGUGGUUAAUACCCUGGAGUCAUGACGGUACCGUAAGAAUAAACACCGGCUAACUCCGGUCCAGCCGCCGCGGUAAUACGGAGGGUGCAAGCGUUAAGCGGAAUUACUGGGCGUAAAGCGUGCGCAGGCGGUUUUGUAAGACAGAGGUGAAAUCCCCGGGCUCAACCUGGGAACUGCCUUUGUGACUGCAAGGCUAGAGUACGGCAGAGGGGGGUGGAAUUCCGCGUGUAGCAGUGAAAUGCGUAGAUAUGCGGAGGAACACCGAUGGCGAAGGCAAUCCCCUGGACCUGUACUGACGCUCAUGCACGAAAGCGUGGGGAGCAAACAG
rnacentral:rRNA from 1 species